UACGGGGGGGGCAAGCGUUGUUCGGAAUUACUGGGCGUAAAGGGCGCGUAGGCGGUGUGUCAAGUCAGGCGUGAAAGCCCCGGGCUCAACCUGGGAACAGCGCUUGAGACUGGCACGCUCGAGUUCGGGAGAGGAUGGUGGAAUUCCCAGUGUAGAGGUGAAAUUCGUAGAUAUUCGCAAGAACACCAGUGGCGAAGGCGGCUCACUGGCCCGAUACUGACGCUGAGGCACGAAAGCGUGGGGAGCAAACAGG
rnacentral:rRNA from 1 species